rnacentral:rRNA from 1 species
AGCGAACGCUGGCGGCAGGCCUAACACAUGCAAGUCGAACGAACCCUUCGGGGUUAGUGGCGGACGGGUGAGUAACACGUGGGAACGUGCCUUUAGGUUCGGAAUAACUCAGGGAAACUUGUGCUAAUACCGAAUGUGCCCUUCGGGGGAAAGAUUUAUCGCCUUUAGAGCGGCCCGCGUCUGAUUAGCUAGUUGGUGAGGUAAUGGCUCACCAAGGCUACGAUCAGUAGCUGGUCUGAGAGGAUGACCAGCCACAUUGGGACUGAGACACGGCCCAAACUCCUACGGGAGGCAGCAGUGGGGAAUUUUGCGCAAUGGGCGAACGCCUGACGCAGCCAUGCCGCGUGGAUGAUGAAGGUCUUAGGAUUGUAAAAUCCUUUCACCGGUGAAGAUAAUGACUGUAGCCGGAGAAGAAGCCCCGGCUAACUUCGUGCAAGCCGCCGCAGUAACAC